UGAUUUGCGUCCCUUUCUUUUUGACACAAAACAAAAAAAAUAAAAAAAAUAGCUUUUUAGAAAUACUGGAGCGAUCCAGAGGGAGAUAGAUUCUUUAUUCAUGGAAGUCUGUUUCAAAUGGUGGAACCGAACGUUUGACGUCAUCGGUGCGUCACUGGCGCGCGCCGUUGUUUUCAUUUUUUUUGGUCCCUUUUUGGCGCAACGUGGGAUAAAGAAGAAGAUUUGCUGGGGAUUAUUGCUUUAAAUCGGAGGAUUGUUGGGCGAAAGAGGGAAUAAUGACUCUGUUCCCGUCCGCUCUCAGUGAGGAGGAAGAGGCUCUGCAGAAGAAAUAUGCCAAACUCAAAAAGAAGAAAAAGGCAUUGAUGGCUUUGAAGAAGCAAAGUUCAGCAGCUCAGACAAACCAGGGUGGAAUUAAACGAUCUCUUUCUGAUCAACCCAUCAUUGACACUGCUACAGCAACAGAGCAGGCAAAAAUGCUGGUGAAAUCUGGAGCAAUCAGUGCCAUCAAGGCAGAAAACAAGAACUCUGGUUUUAAACGCUCACGAACUUUGGAAGGAAAGCUAAAGGAUCCGGAGAAGGGACCAACCCCUUCAUUCCAGCCUUUUCAACGAAGUGUCUCUGCUGAUGAUGACAACUUGGAGGUCUGUAAGCGUCCACAGAGGAAGACUCUUUAUGAAAGCUUUGUGAGCUCCAGUGAGCGUGAGAAAGAUCGAGAGGAGGAACGUGAAUCAGGAAAGGAGCUGGACCGCGACAGCUACAGGGACGUUGAGCGAGAUCUGGAUCGUGGAAGAGAUCGUGACAAAGGCCGCGACAGGGAUCGGGAUCGAGAUCGAGAUCGAGAUCGGGAUCGAGACCGGGAUAGAGACAGAGAUAGAGACAGAGAUAGAGACAGAGACCAAGACCGCGAGCGAGACAGGGACAGAGAUAGGGAUAGGGACCGAGACCGUGAUCGGGACCGUGAUCGGGAUAGAGAGCGUGACCGGGAUCGUGACCGUGAUCGGGAUCGCGACAGGGAUAGAGACCGAGACCGUGGCAGAGACAGGGACAGGGAUCGGGAUCGGGACCGGGACCGUGAUGGCUCUUAUCGAAGAUAUGACUCUUUCCGUGCACCCCGUAAAGGAAACACCAUCUAUGUGCAUGGCAUGGGGAUGACUGAGGAGAUGCUGAGAAGCUCCUUUUCCAAUUUUGGGACCAUUGUCAACCUGACCAUGGACAGCCCCAGGAACUGUGCAUUUGUCACCUUUGAGACAAUGGAGUCGGCAGAUCAGGCGAUUGCAGAGAUGGCAGCAUGGUUGGAGCUGUUUGCUUGAAGGUGAUGAUUGCUCGUAAACAGCUGAUGUUGGAAACAGCCACAGGGAAGUCAGUUUGGGGCAGUCUAGCGGUCCAGAACAGUGCCAAGGGUUCACACCGUGAUAAACGUAGCCAGGUGGUGUACAAUGAGGAUUUCCUGAGAUAACCUGGGAGAAGAAAGAAGAAGGGAGUGAAUGACUCCAAGCCAUACCUCUUGGCAGAAAGUGACUCACCUACGUCCCCUGUUUUUUGUAUGGCCCCAACUUUCACUAAUGUUAUGCAUAAGAAAUUUUAAGAGAGUCGCACUUAAUUAUAGCACAGAACUUGAGUAGUGUUGCUGAAAACCUAGAAAUGCUGUUGAAGAUUUUUGUCUUGCACUCAGGCAGGACAGUCACACAAGAAUGCCACAUUUCGAAGGAAAAACAUUUUAUGCUAAAUGAAUGAAAUGCUGAUUGGUUGUCCAGUAGACUCUGAAUGAUUGAAGCAUUGCUGUGGGGAAUGCACAAAGGAAUAAUUAUUCCCCAAUUAUUUAUUUAAAUUCCGUGAAGGAAGCCAAUUCUGAUUGGUCAAGGCAUUGCCAUGGGAAACCCUUAUGGGAAUUAUUGUUCCCCCAUACUUUAGUUUAAUGAAAAACAUGCAGAGCUUCACUUUUUUUGCUCUGUUUGCAGAGGAUAGGACCUCGGUCAUGAAGCUUCUAGAAAGUGCAAGAAAUUGUGAACUGAACUGAUAAUUUUAAGUUGCUUUUUAAUGUCGUUCUCAGUACAUUUAUGUUUGUUUAAAUAAGUAGCGUCCUACCAUGGAAUUGCAUCUAAUGUUGGGCAUUAUGUCCUGAGUUUUGUAAGCAUGGGAUGGUUAGUGUGGCCAGUACUCUACCUUUUGUAAAUAGCUGAAAGGACUUGCUGUUUGACACAAUCACCAGUGGUUGGGACAUCUGGCCAACAUAACCUGCAGUGUUCCAAAAAUGUAGCACAUGUCCUAACAACAAUGGAUUAUAUCAACUCUCAUUUAGCCUGCUCACAAAAGGCAGAAUACUGAUUAGAAUACUCAAUCAGCCUGUGCUGAGAUUAUUUAAGUCAGAUUUUCACUAUGACUCAUUAAUGCUUGCCUGAAGCUACAAAGAUUCAUGAACAGGGCCUUGUCUUAUGCAGACAAAAUAUAAUCCAGUCAGGCAUUGCAAUUUGAGUUAAAGCAUGACUGAUGAUGGUUCCCUGCUGCUUUCCAAUGUCAGUGCCUCAAAUAAUCAGAGUGACCUUGCUCUUAUUGAAUUUAAACAAAAGCUUAGAAGGAAACUAUUCCCUGGUGUGCUCUGAAUGGCUUCACUUCAAUCAGAGUACACCCUAUUCUCGUGCAGUUUAAAUUGUUGUUCCCUUUGAAAUGUGGCGUUCAUGUACACGUCCUAGUGAGUGGAAGAUGAAAAUGUUUAGCAGAGUAUGUCUUUCUCAGUAAAUACUCGGGUAGCAUAUGCUAAGAGUCAACCUUUGCAAGUCUCCAUGUUUCAAGAGUGGGCGUGGAAACUACCAUGCUCAUUCUUCAUCUGAUUGAGAACAGAAGAGUGCUGCCUAGUUUCUAAAUGCCCGAGCAGCUCCAAUUGGCCAAUCAGCUCUACUGUUACCCACUACAUUUCAGCUUUGAGGAGUACAGGAAAUAUAGAAGCACCAGUGUUCUGUAUGCUACCGAUCCCCUCUUUGUUCAUUGGGAGUUGGCCCUUUUCAAGAGCCUCUCAGCCUUUCCUGAUGAGUUUAAUAUUUCAGUCAUUAUCUCAUCUUUGAGAAUUCCAUUUCUGAGACACUGCCAGUGCCUCUUCUAUUGUUUGGUUUCUGUAAUCAAGCCCUAUCAUUAUGGAACCUGUCCUCAUAACUCAAUACCAAAGAGUUAAAUUGGUUGAGGGACCCCCUCCAGGACCAACAUAUCCCUCCUGUAAGUGUUCUAGUGUAGGUGGUACCUGUGCCAGGAGUGCGGGAACCGAUCAGCAUUAAUGCUUAUGAAUCCCACGAAAUAUGACUGGUCAGUAAAUAUAGCAGGGAGCACCGCAUGAUAGGUGUUGUGGUUUUAGAAGGUGAAUGGGUGAUCCGAUUGUCACUAUAUAAGCACAUGAGCAGGCUUUUACUCCUCAGGUAGUUUGAUUCCACCAUUCUUGUAGCUAGUCAUUUUGAGAAUUUAUGCUGCUUUGUGCGCAGAACUCAUUUUCUCACUGAAUUAGCAUACCAGUGUUUGGAAAGAGUGCUUUUUAGUGGGGAGAGGGAGCAUGAGAUGGUGAGACUAGUUCAGAUGCCCAGCUUGCAAACCAGAGUCCCAUCCUUAGCACAUGCUGCACUGGCUGUAUCACUGCGAUGUGAUCAGGGCUGAGAGGGGAGUUUUGUCUUUUGGAGGGUGAGGUUGGUCUGAUUGAACUUGAGGUGGGAGAAAUUGAGCCUAAUUUGGUGUGUUUCACAUCGCUCCUUCUAUCUCCAUCCCCUCCUGCCAUUCCUACGCCUACCCCAAACCAAAGGUAGCUGAUGUCCCAUCAAUUGCCCACUGAGCUUUCAGUCUGGAGGAAGAAUUAUAGGGGAUGUAAUGGGACCAAUGACCAACAAAAUGAAGUAAAUACUUGCAAAUCUGAAAUCCUGCUUGGAAUGCUUUAAGUUCCCCAAAAAUAUCCAAUUGUAAAUAUUGCACCAUUUGUUUUUAUUAAAAUAACUGUGUGAAUA